GUUGAGUUCAAAUGGAUUUCUUUAUUUCUUACAGCGGUGCUUCAGUUUACAGCAGCAGCUGGAAAACUUCCCCCCUCCUUCACUGUCAGAGUUGGAGAUGACGUCACUUUGCCUUGUGAAAAUGUGAUAGACGAUCAGCAAGAAUGUGAAUAUACUACAUGGCUCUUCAGUGGUUCAGGAAACACAGCAGCAGUAGAGCUGGUUAAACAUGGACAGAUUGUUGAAAACACCAAAUCUAAAUCAGACAGACUGAGUGUUACAGAGAACUGUUCUCUGGUUAUAAAGAAGAUCACAGUCGAGAAUGUUGGUCAUUAUGACUGUCAGCAGUUCAUAACAAAGGGAGGACAACAACAUGGUGAAAACUCUCAGGUUUAUCUGUCUGUUAUUAACAUGACUGAACAUACGGACACUGAUAAGGUGACGUUAAACUGCUCUGUGUCGACAUACGAACACUGUAGUCACACAGUGAAGUGGCUGUAUGAGGGUAAAGAUGUGGACAAAGAUAACCAAGAUCUGAAGACAUCACAGUAUUCCUGCAAUGCCUCUGUGAGCUUUCUGACUUCUCAUUACAUUUACACAUCGAGACAUAACCAAUUUUCAUGUGAAGUGACUGAUGGUGACAAAGUGCAAGUGUUUCCCUUCAGAUUUCUGCCUUCAGGUGAGAAACCAGAUUGGUGGUGGUUGUACAUCAUUGUGACUGUGGCUUCAGUUGCACUAUUAAUAAUUGUUGUAAAAGUCAUCAGAUGGAAGAGAGCUAAAGGGAACAAAGCAGGGAUGAAUGACAAUAUUGUGAGUUUAAAAACUGUUCUCCUACAUUUUGAUUCUAUACCUGACAAAGGAUAACAUAAGGUAAACAGUACUAAUUGUUUUAAAACUAUGUUACUGUAGCAGCAAAAGUCAAGGAAGUGAUUGUGAGGAAAAGCAAAACGGGGCCCGAGUUACGUCUGUUGGAACCAAGACGGCAGCCGCGAUGGUGGAGAUAGUCAUGUACCUACUAACAGUGUGCAGACAUGCCCUUUGCCCUGCAGUUAAAAUGUGUAACAAUGCAAAGAAUUUUAUAUGCUUAUUAUAGGCUUUUAAAAUAUCAAUCUGUAAAUUAACUUGUAACUACAGCUGUCAUGGGGCUGCCCUAUUCAAGCCAGUGGUAGCAUUGGUCUUAGCAUGCUAAGCUAACUUUAGGAUGAGUAUUAGCAUAGGACUUUUAGGUUUAGCAUUACCUUUAGCAUGUGGGCUAGGCUUGUCAUUUCAUUUCAGUUCAUUUAAAUACUAGUCGAAAGAGUAGAAAUCAUGAUUAGAUAAUUAAAACACAUACACAGUUAAUUUCAAGUCAUUUAUUUUAGGUUAUUGGAUCUACCCAAGGUUAUGUUUCAUUCACCUGUUCUCACCAAGGGGGUAAGCCACAGUUCAAACAGUGAAGCCGACCAAAGCCUGCAUGGACGGUUCCAUGUAGGCCCAAAAAUAAUGUCAAAACCCUGUGACAUCCCAUCACAUAACAUGACCUUUUUGCAGAAGUAAUAGAAUUUGAAAUGUUGACUGUGAUAAAAUAGAGUGUCAGUAUUAAUCCACAAGUUACUGAGCAGCCAUUAUGUUAAUUUCUCUAAAGGCUGAUCCUGAAAAUGGUGUUACUUACGCCACUGUCAGCUUCACCGCAAAGACCAACAGUGAAGGCCGGGUUCAGAGUAAAAAUGAUGCUGAUGAAGGCGAUGCAGUGACCUACAUGACUGUGAAAGCUUCCUCUGCUGAUCCCAGCAACUUCUACGCUACAGUCAACUGACCAAACAAAUCAAACUCAAGUCAUCAGAUCUUUGCUUAAAUCUUUGUUUUAUGAUAAUUUUCAAGAUGGAUUAUUGUAAAAAGAUUCUUAUUCACAACGGGGUGAAGUUGGUUAACUAGUGGCACAAUGUAAAACAAAAAAAGUAAUUACCCAACAUUUAUAUUGGUGGUUGCUUGAAAACUAAAUGAGCAUGACAUAUGACAUUUGCUUGAUGAACUUGCUGUGAUUAAUGUGCUAAUCUUAGGUUAUAGUUCAAGGUUAAUAUGUUUAUUUUCCUUUUUUUAUUUAUUAUUUAUCUUGUCUUAAAUUGGUGCCUGUGAUUAUUUCAUAUGCAAAAAUUUAUCAAGGUUGAGCAACUUUACAGAUUCUUGGUGUUUGUCAUUAUUUUCAUAUUUUGCUCUUGUUUGAUAUGCAGUAUUUUGACCAUGUAUGUCUUAGUUCAGUUAGCUUUAAAUAUCCUGGUGUCAAAGUAUAUAAAGGAAACUAAAAGAAGGUGGGAUGUGACAUAUUUUAUUUGAUCUGCAUAAAUGAUGUCAACCUGAGAAGUUGUGUUAAACACAGAAUG